rfam:Macaca mulatta chromosome 19, whole genome shotgun sequence.
UCUCAGGCUGUGACCCUCUAAAGGGAAGUGCUUUCUGUUGUGUGAAAGAAAACGAAAUCGCUUCCCUUUGGAGCGUUACAGUUUGAGA